AUUUGUAAUAUCUAUUCCUUCCUUUAGGUUUACAAAGACUGUACGAGCGCUAUUUCCGAACACUGUAUGAGCACUAUUUCCCAACACUUUUUAAGUCCAGAUUACAAAGACAGGACGAGCGCUGUUCAUUCAGUACUUACUAUAGAAUUUACAGGGCCCUGUCUGAGAGACACCCUCUGAGUGACAGUAACAAGACUUACACAGGGUGGGGAGUCACCUUCACUUAUACUG